rnacentral:rRNA from 1 species
CCUACGGGAGGCAGCAGUGGGGAAUAUUGCACAAUGGGCGAAAGCCUGAUGCAGCGACGCCGCGUGAGGGAUGACGGCCUUCGGGUUGUAAACCUCUUUCAGCAGGGAAGAAGCGCAAGUGACGGUACCUGCAGAAGAAGCACCGGCUAACUACGUGCCAGCAGCCGCGGUAAUACGUAGGGUGCGAGCGUUGUCCGGAAUUAUUGGGCGUAAAGAGCUCGUAGGCGGCUUGUCACGUCGGGUGUGAAAGCCCGGGGCUUAACCCCGGGUCUGCAUUCGAUACGGGCAGGCUUGAGUGUGGUAGGGGAGAUCGGAAUUCCUGGUGUAGCGGUGAAAUGCGCAGAUAUCAGGAGGAACACCGGUGGCGAAGGCGGAUCUCUGGGCCAUUACUGACGCUGAGGAGCGAAAGCGUGGGGAGCGAACAGGAUUAGAUACCCUGGUAGUCCACGCCGUAAACGUUGGGAACUAGGUGUUGGCGACAUUCCACGUCGUCGGUGCCGCAGCUAACGCAUUAAGUUCCCCGCCUGGGGAGUACGGCCGCAAGGCUAAAACUCAAAGGAAUUGACGG